rnacentral:rRNA from 1 species
UACGUAGGGGGCAAGCGUUGUCCGGAAUCAUUGGGCGUAAAGCGCGUGUAGGCGGUUCGGUAAGUCUGCUGUGAAAGUCCAGGGCUCAACCCUGGGAUGCCGGUGGAUACUGUCGGGCUAGAGUGCGGAAGAGGCGAGUGGAAUUCCCGGUGUAGCGGUGAAAUGCGCAGAUAUCAGGAGGAACACCGAUGGCGAAGGCAGCUCGCUGGGACGUGACUGACGCUGAGACGCGAAAGCGUGGGGAGCAAACAGG